rnacentral:SRP_RNA from 1 species
GCUAUAGCACAGGCCUGUAGUCCCAGCUACUCAGAGACUGAGGCAGGCGAAUCACUUGAGUCUGAGUUCUGAGCUGUAGAGUAAGCUAUGCCAAUAAGAUUGUCCUUACUAAGUUUGGCAUCAAUAUGGUGACUUCUCCCAGGAGAAAGGGAUCACCAGUUUGCCUAAAGAGGGGUGAAUGGCAAAGGUCGGAAACUGCAAGUCAGAAUUCCCAUGCUGACCAGUAGUGGGAAUGUGCCAUGAAUAGCCACUGCAAGAGAGCCUGGGUAACAUACCUGAAACUCUGUCUAU